UACGUAGGGUGCAAGCGUUAAUCGGAAUUACUGGGCGUAAAGCGUGCGCAGGCGGUUAUGUAAGACAGAUGUGAAAUCCCCGGGCUCAACCUGGGCACUGCAUUUGUGACUGCAUAGCUGGAGUACGGUAGAGGGGGAUGGAAUUCCGCGUGUAGCAGUGAAAUGCGUAGAUAUGCGGAGGAACACCGAUGGCGAAGGCAAUCCCCUGGACCUGUACUGACGCUCAUGCACGAAAGCGUGGGGAGCAAACAGG
rnacentral:rRNA from 1 species